CAGCAGCCGCGGGAACACGAAGGGGGCUAGCGUUGCUCGGAAUGACUGGGCGUAAAGGGCGCGUAGGCGGCAUAUACAGUCAGGCGUGAAAUUCCCGGGCUUAACCUGGGGGCUGCGUUUGAUACGUAUGGGCUAGAGUGAGGAAGAGGGUCGUGGAAUUCCCAGUGUAGAGGUGAAAUUCGUAGAUAUUGGGAAGAACACCGGUGGCGAAGGCGGCGACCUGGUCCUUUACUGACGCUGAGGCGCGAAAGCGUAGGGAGCAAACAGGAUUAGAUACCCCCGUAGUCCCUGUCUCUUAUAC
rnacentral:rRNA from 1 species